CAAGGCACUGAAAAUGCCUAGAUGAGUGUACUAACUCCAUAAACA
rnacentral:tRNA from 1 species